AUUGAACGCUGGCGGCAGGCUUAACACAUGCAAGUCGAGCGGAGAGAGGUAGCUUGCUACUGAUCUUAGCGGCGGACGGGUGAGUAAUGCUUAGGAAUCUGCCUAUUAGUGGGGGACAACAUUUCGAAAGGAAUGCUAAUACCGCAUACGUCCUACGGGAGAAAGCAGGGGAUCUUCGGACCUUGCGUUAAUAGAUGAGCCUAAGUCGGAUUAGCUAGUUGGUGGGGUAAAGGCCUACCAAGGCGACGAUCUGUAGCGGGUCUGAGAGGAUGGUCCGCCACACUGGGACUGGGACACGGCCCAGACUCCUACGGGAGGCAGCAGUGGGGAAUAUUGGACAAUGGGCGGAAGCCUGAUCCAGCCAUGCCGCGUGUGUGAAGAGGGCCUUAUGGUUGUAAAGCACUUUAAGCGAGGAGGAGGCUACUUUAGUUAAUACCUAGGGAUAGUGGACGUUACUCGCAGAAUAAGCACCGGCUAACUCUGUGCCAGCAGCCGCCGUAA
rnacentral:rRNA from 1 species